rnacentral:rRNA from 1 species
AGAUUUGGCAGUGCUCGCAAGAGAACCGGAACACAGGUGCUGCAUGGCUGUCGUCAGCUCGUGUCGUGAGAUGUUUGGGUUAAGUCCCGCAACGAGCGCAACCCUUGUCAUUAGUUGCUACGAAAGGGCACUCUAAUGAGACUGCCGGUGACAAACCGGAGGAAGGUGGGGAUGACGUCAAGUCCUCAUGGCCCUUAUGGGUAGGGCUUCACACGUCAUACAAUGGUCGGGACAGAGGGCAGCCAACCCGCGAGGGGGAGCCAAUCCCAGAAACCCGAUCGUAGUCCGGAUCGCAGUCUGCAACUCGACUGCGUGAAGUCGGAAUCGCUAGUAAUCGCGGAUCAGCAUGUCGCGGUGAAUACGUUCCCGGGUCUUGUACACACCGCCCGUCACACCAUGGGAGUGGGUUUUACCAGAAGUAGUUAGCCUAACCGCAAGGGGGGCGAUUACCACGGUGUGGUUCAUGACUGGGGUGAAGUCGUAACAAGGUAGCCGUAGGGGAACCUGCGGCUGGAUCACCUCCUUA